AUUGAACGCUGGCGGCAUGCCUUACACAUGCAAGUCGAACGGUAACGGGCCUUCGGGUGCCGACGAGUGGCGAACGGGUGAGUAAUACAUCGGAACGUGCCCGAUCGUGGGGGAUAACGAGGCGAAAGCUUUGCUAAUACCGCAUACGAUCUACGGAUGAAAGCAGGGGACCGCAAGGCCUUGCGCGGACGGAGCGGCCGAUGGCAGAUUAGGUAGUUGGUGGGAUAAAAGCUUACCAAGCCGACGAUCUGUAGCUGGUCUGAGAGGAUGAUCAGCCACACUGGGACUGAGUCACGGCCCAGACUCCUACGGGAGGCAGCAGUGGGGAAUUUUGGACAAUGGGCGCAAGCCUGAUCCAGCCAUGCCGCGUGCAGGAUGAAGGCCUUCGGGUUGUAAACUGCUUUUGUACGGAACGAAAAGCCUUCUUUUAAUACAGGAGGGUCAUGACGGUACCGUAAGAAUAAGCACCGGCUAACUACGUG
rnacentral:rRNA from 1 species